UUUUGUUGAACUUGGAAUCUUUUUUCUUGUCAUUGUGGUAGAAAGAAAGUGAAUUGAAACUUUGAAGCUACUUAUUGAAUUGCUCUGUUCUGCCAAAUGAGACCUUGUUUCUUUCUUUGGAAUUGUUUAUGAAUGCCGAAACUGAUAUCCUAAGAAUUGGUUUUCAAUGUCAAGAAUCUAUUUGGCAUGUUUCAAUUAUGCUUUUCUUGAUUUCGUAUAAGUUUUCCUCUUGUAUGAAUUCUUUGUAAACAAUUUUGGCUUUGCUUCGUCUGUCUCUUCAUUCUUGUCACUCUGCUCAAAAGCAAUCUGAUUAUGAACUUUUACCUUUAGUUCCAUGGCUGUAAUCGUAAUGCUUUGGUUUGAAUUGAACUUCAAGUCAUGAUAUAUUGGGUUAGCUUUGAAAUAUUUGAUGGUUGUCUUUGUGGCAUCCAGCAUGUCUCAAUGUGGUAAAGAAGCUUAGAGUCAUUUAGUAACCUUUCCAUUUUUUUGUUUUUAGUUAUUAUAAAAAUGUCUGUUUGCAAAGUGUUCCUUGUUUGCCCUUUCUUGAUGUUUCUAAUAUUUGUACACCAAUUUUGAAAUCAAAACAAAAUACUUUUCUUGUUUUUGUUAUGUGUAACAAUCCAAAGUUAGUAUGAAGAGAAAAUAACAAGCAACAAGUAAGAAAUGAGGACGUUACGAAAUGAGCCUAAUUUAUCAUCAGUCGAAGUACUUCUUAUGUCGCACCAGCUAGUGAAGUUGUGUGUAUUUCUUUAGUUGUAUAAAUGGGUUGUUGCCAGAACCACAAAUCUUUUCUUCUUUCCUUUGUACUCUCAGUUGCCUGAGAAAAUCCGAGCGGAUAUCAUAGUUCUAAAUGUAGGUUAUACAAUAUGAAGAUAAUCAUUUGGUUUAUGUUCUGUUUCAUUACUAGUUACAUUUAAUAAAACUCCUGGACGAUAUAGUAUUUGUUGGAUAUAUUUGCAUACCUA
rnacentral:lncRNA from 1 species